CACGUGUUAGCGCCCCUGCUGGUAGGUCAGUGCUAAUGCAGAUGCUGUAGUUCUAUACGUGAUAGCGCCCCAUGCUGGUAGGUCAGUGCUUAUGCAGGUGCUGCAGUUCAGUAAUUGGACUUCUUUACAUGGAUAAAAUGUGUUUUAUUUUGCUGAAAAAAAAAGAAAAGAAAAAAAACGGAAUAUGAGCUGACAGUCAAUAUUUAAGGUUUGGUUAACCCAAAACACCUUGUAGAAUUUAGGUUUAUUCCAUCCAAAACAGUUAGGAGUAAUCUAAUUUCAAUGUAAUAAAAAAAUAUUUAUUUCUGGACCCAGUGUUUUAAAUGCCCGAGCCAAAGCAAGCUGUGCAGUGCUUGAAGCCCUGUAGGGACUAGCUUUGCCUUUUUAUUAUUUAUUCAUUACAUUUGAUGACAAUUUGACCCCUUUGAGUGAGAAUUUCAUAGUAUUGUCAUUCCAGGUAAUUCUUUGUGGUGAUCAACAAAAAAAAUAUGAUUGGCUCUUAAUGUCUACAAAAAAAUGUCUUCUAUCAAGAACAAAGCUGUGCAAAAAGGCUGUUGCCAUGGAGAAGCCUUUGAUCAUAAAGCCACCAAGAAUUAGCCUUUUGUCAAAGUGGCUAAGUGUUUUAAUCUUAAGGUAAAGAGCAGUUCUUUGUGACUUGAGUGGUUGUUGGGAGAAACAGGAGGAAGAUGGAGCCAUGUCUGAAAGGCAGCAUCAGGAAAUGGGAGACAACCAUCACAAGAGUCUAAAUUCAUAUGGAAUGCAGGUUUGAAGUCCCUUGAUGGGGGCAAGUUCUUUUCUCUCAUUAUUAGAG
rnacentral:lncRNA from 1 species